rnacentral:rRNA from 1 species
CCUACGGGAGGCAGCAGUGGGGAAUUUUGGACAAUGGGCGAAAGCCUGAUCCAGCAAUGCCGCGUGCAGGAAGAAGGCCUUCGGGUUGUAAACUGCUUUUGUACGGAACGAAACGGUUCGCUUUAAUACAGUGGGCUAAUGACGGUACCGUAAGAAUAAGCACCGGCUAACUACGUGCCAGCAGCCGCGGUAAUACGUAGGGUGCGAGCGUUAAUCGGAAUUACUGGGCGUAAAGCGUGCGCAGGCGGUUAUAUAAGACAGUUGUGAAAUCCCCGGGCUCAACCUGGGAAUUGCAUCUGUGACUGUAUAGCUAGAGUACGGUAGAGGGGGAUGGAAUUCCGCGUGUAGCAGUGAAAUGCGUAGAUAUGCGGAGGAACACCGAUGGCGAAGGCAAUCCCCUGGACCUGUACUGACGCUCAUGCACGAAAGCGUGGGGAGCAAACAGGAUUAGAUACCCUGGUAGUCCACGCCCUAAACGAUGUCAACUGGUUGUUGGGUGCAUUAGUACUCAGUAACGAAGCUAACGCGUGAAGUUGACCGCCUGGGGAGUCGGCCGCAAGGUUGAAACUUAAUGAAUUGACGGCUGAGAGNGCGAGACGACGACGAGGGAGGAGG